rnacentral:rRNA from 1 species
AAAGGAAUUGACGGGGACCCGCACAAGCGGUGGAGCAUGCUCUUUAAUUGGCUGAUAACCCAAGAACCUUACCAGGGCUUGACAUGCAUAAAGUAGUGAACCGAAAGGGGAACGACCGGUAUCCAGUCCGGAGUUUGCACAGGUGUUGCAUGGCUGUCGUCAGUUCGUACCGUGAGGCGUACCCUCAAGUGGGUUAACGAACGCAACCCCUACCGUCAGUUGUAUCACUCUGGCGGAACUGCCUCGGCAACGAGGAGGAAGGUGGGGAUGACGUCAAGUCAGUAUUGCUCUUACGCUCUGGGCCAGAAGCAUGCUACAAUGGGGCCGACAGCGCGAAGCGAAGAGGUAACUCGGAGCAAAUCGCUAAACGACCUCUCAGUUCGGAUUGGAGUCUGCAACUCGACUCCAUGAAGUUGGAAUCGCUAGUAAUCGGCGGUCAGCUAUACGCCGGUGAAUACGUUCUCGGGUCUUGCACACACCGCCCGU